ACCCCCAUACCUCACCACCAACCUCACCCCCAUACCUCACCUCCAUACCUCACACCUCACCACCAACCUCACCCCAUACCUCACCACCAACCUCACCCCCAAACACUCGUGCGAGCAUUCCACACCAUCCAUACUCCACCACCAAAAAUCCCUCGGCAUCCCACCAACCACACCGUGCUAUCGGCGAUGUGCAGGCGGAUACACAGCUUGCUCAGUGCCGAGGCCACGGCGUUCUCGCCAGACUCGAGUCGGAGCGCCGUGUCCAGGGUCCACACUGCAGCGCGGCACAGGUCACACACAGGUCCAUCGGGAUUCGUGCGGCUCCACCGGCCGGGAGUGUCCGGCAGGCAGCGCGACCAUAAGGAGUAGUGGAGCCAAGACGAGUACACGAUGCUCCAUGAUCGGCGAGGACACGGUCUUCUACUGGUCCGAUUUGUCACGUUUCCUAAUGACGUCAUUACGUGAUGGGCGAUGGCUGCUUGUUUGAUGCUGUCGAACGUUCGUCUUCAAAAUCAGUUUGACGUCACCGUUAAUUCAAAACGCCGAAGCAAAAGUCGUCCUUCAACUCAGAAUGGUCGAAAGAACGAUGCGAGAAGAGUGAGGCAAGGUAUCUGAAACUUUUUAGCAGAGCCAGGAUAUAUUUGUGAUGUCACUAAGUUUGAAUCUAAAAUGGAUAUUAUCGUAUGUUCCACCCAUGUUUUUCUUCAUGCAUAUUUAUGUGGGGGGGGGGGGGGGGGGGGGGGGGGGGGGGGGGGGGGGGGGGGGGGGGGGGGGGGGGGGGGGGGGGGGGGGGGGGGGGGGGGGGGGGGCCGCCCAUAUUUUUCCUCAUGCAUAUUUAUGCUCCGCCCAUGUUUUUCCUCAUCCAUAUUUAUGCUCCACCCAUGUUUUUCCUCAUGCAUAUUCAUGGUUUUCCUCAUGCAUAUUUACGCUCCAUCCAUGAUUUUCCUCAUGCAUAUUCAUAUUUUUCUUCAUGCAAAUUUAUGCUCCGCCCAUGUUUUUCCUCAUGUAUAUUUGUGCUCCGCCCAUGUUUUUCCUCAUGCAUAUUUCCCCCCCCCCCCCCCCCCCCCCCCCCCCCCCCCCCCCCCCCCCCCCCCCCCUCAUGCAUAUUUGUGCUCCGCCCAUGUUUUUCCUCAUGCAUAUUUAUGCUCCGCCCAUGUUUUUCCUCAUGCAUAUUUAUGUUUUUCCUCAUGCAUAUUUAUGCUCCACCCAUAUUUAUGCUCCACCCAUGUUUUUCCUCAUGCAUAUUCAUAUUUUUCCUCAUGCAUAUUUAUGCUCCGACCAUGUUUUUCCUCAUCCAUAUUUCUGCUCCACCCAUGAUUUUCCUCAUGCAUAUUCAUGUUUUUCCUCAUGCAUUUUCAUAUUUUUCCUCAUGCAUAUUUAUGCUCCACCCAUGUGUUGCAUCAUCGCUGCUGCUUGGAAGCCAGGAUGGCUCUUCCGGGGGGGGGGGGGGGGGGGGGGGGGGGGGGGGGGGGGGGGGGGGGGGGGGGG
rnacentral:lncRNA from 1 species